rnacentral:rRNA from 1 species
UCCUACGGGGCGCAGCAGUGGGGAAUAUUGCACAAUGGGGGGAACCCUGAUGCAGCGACGCCGCGUGAGUGAAGAAGUAUUUCGGUAUGUAAAGCUCUAUCAGCAGGGAAGAAAAUGACGGUACCUGACUAAGAAGCCCCGGCUAACUACGUGCCAGCAGCCGCGGUAAUACGUAGGGGGCAAGCGUUAUCCGGAUUUACUGGGUGUAAAGAGAGCGUAGACGGCAGAGCAAGUCUGAAGUGAAAGCCCGCGGCCCAACCGCGGGACUGCAUUGGGAACUACCGGGCUGGAGUGCCGGAGAGGUA